rnacentral:rRNA from 1 species
GUAGGGAAUAUUGGGCAAUGGUCGGAAGACUGACCCAGCCAUGCCGCGUGCAGGAAGACGGCCCUCUGGGUUGUAAACUGCUUUUAUCUGGGAAGAAAAAGGCCAUGCGUGGCAAAUUGCCGGUACCAGAUGAAUAAGCACCGGCUAACUCCGUGCCAGCAGCCGCGGUAAUACGGAGGGUGCGAGCGUUGUCCGGAUUUAUUGGGUUUAAAGGGUGCGUAGGCGGCUGAUUAAGUCAGCGGUGAAAGACUUCGGCUUAACCGGAGCAGUGCCGUUGAUACUGGUUGGCUUGAGUGUCGGAAGGGUACAUGGAAUUGAUGGUGUAGCGGUGAAAUGCAUAGAUACCAUCAGGAACACCGAUAGCGAAGGCAUUGUACUGGCCGACAACUGACGCUGAUGCACGAAAGUGUGGGGAUCGAACAGGAUUAGAUACCCUUGUAGUCC